ACCGGCAGCUCAAGUGGUGGCCAUUUUUAUUGGGCCUAAAGCGUUCGUAGCCGGUUUGAUAAGUCUCUGGUGAAAUCCCGCAGCUUAACUGUGGGACUUGCUGGAGAUACUAUUAGACUUGAGGUCGGGAGAGGUUAGGGGUACUCCCAGGGUAGGAGUGAAAUCCUAUAAUCCUGGGGGGACCACCUGUGGCGAAGGCGCCUAACCGGGACGGCCCUGACAGUGAGGAACGAAAGCCAGGGGAGCGAACCG
rnacentral:rRNA from 1 species